rnacentral:rRNA from 1 species
UACUAGAGUAGCACUCGCAUAUCAAUAAGCGGAGGAAAAGAAACUAACAAGGAUUCCCCUAGUAACGGCGAGUGAAGCGGGAAGAGCUCAAAUUUGAAAUCUUAAAGGGUUUCCCUUUACGAAUUGUAGUUUAAAGAAGUGUUUUCUGUUGAGGUUUUGGUAAAAGUUCUUUGGAAUAGGACAUCAUAGAGGGUGAGAACCCCGUAUUUGACCUUUACUUUCAACUUUGUGAUACACUUUCAAAGAGUCGGAUUGUUUGGGAAUGCAGUCCAAAAUGGGUGGUAAAUUUCAUCUAAAGCUAAAUAUUGGCGAGAGACCGAUAGCGAACAAGUACCGUGAGGGAAAGAUGAAAAGAACUUUGAAAAGAGAGUUAAACAGUACGUGAAAUUGUCAAAAGGGAAGCGUUUGACACCAGUGUUGUUUUUCUGAAAAUCAAUUAAAGAACUGUUUAUGCUAAGCUGUUUAGACUUUAUCAGCUAUCUGUUUAGUUUUAGGCUUUUCUUUAAUGCACUUUUCAGUUAACAAGUCAACAUCAAUUUCUUUUGCUGUAAAAAAGCUUGAGGAAGGUGGCUUGAGAUUCGUCUUAAGUGUUUAUAGCCUCUUGCCUAUGCAGUCGGAGAGAUUGAGGUCUGCAGCGUAGAUCCUUCGGGGCUAAAUGCAUUUGUGCUAAGUUAUAGCAUUUUAUAGACAACUUGUUGACUAUGAUUUGUCUUGUAGCUUACUCGCUUAUGUUAUUUUACCUACGCUUAGGAUGUUGAGCGCAUGUCUCUCUCU